GACGAACGCUGGCGGCGUGCUUAACACAUGCAAGUCGAACGGAAAGGCCCUGCUUGCAGGGUGCUCGAGUGGCGAACGGGUGAGUAACACGUGGGUGAUCUGCCCCUUACUUUGGGAUAAGCCUGGGAAACUGGGUCUAAUACUGGAUAGGACCAUGCUGUAGGUGGUGUGGUGGAAAGAUUAGUUUCGGUAAGGGAUGAGCUCGCGGCCUAUCAGCUUGUUGGUGGGGUAAUGGCCUACCAAGGAGUCGACGGGUAGCCGGCCUGAGAGCGGAGACGGCCAUCAUGGACCCGGGAUACGGGACAGAGUCCAGAGGGAGGCAGGAGGGAGGAAUAGUGAAUAAUGGAGCAUGGGCGAAGGAGUGAUGCAGCGUGGCCGAGGAAGGCAUGCGGGUCGUAAGGUCCUAAAGGCCAUGAAGAAGGGCUUGUGGUGACGGUAGUGGUAGAAGAAGCUCCGGCUAACUACGUG
rnacentral:rRNA from 1 species